CCUACGAGCGGCAGCAGUGGGGAAUAUUGGACAAUGGGGGCAACCCUGAUCCAGCCAUGCCGCGUGUGUGAAGAAGGCCCUCGGGUUGUAAAGCACUUUCAGUGAGGAAGAACGCCUGGUGGUUAAUACCCAUCAGGAAAGACAUCACUCACAGAAGAAGCACCGGCUAACUCCGUGCCAGCAGCCGCGGUAAUACGGAGGGUGCGAGCGUUAAUCGGAAUUACUGGGCGUAAAGCGCGCGUAGGUGGCUUGAUAAGCCGGUUGUGAAAGCCCCGGGCUCAACCUGGGAACGGCAUCCGGAACUGUCAAGCUAGAGUGCAGGAGAGGAAGGUAGAAUUCCCGGUGUAGCGGUGAAAUGCGUAGAGAUCGGGAGGAAUACCAGUGGCGAAGGCGGCCUUCUGGACUGACACUGACACUGAGGUGCGAAAGCGUGGGUAGCAAACAGGAUUAGAUACCCCAGUAGUC
rnacentral:rRNA from 1 species